rnacentral:rRNA from 1 species
GAUGAACGCUGGCGGCGUGCCUAAUACAUGCAAGUCGAGCGAAUGGAUUAAGAGCUUGCUCUUAUGAAGUUAGCGGCGGACGGGUGAGUAACACGUGGGUAACCUGCCCAUAAGACUGGGAUAACUCCGGGAAACCGGGGCUAAUACCGGAUAACAUUUUGAACCGCAUGGUUCGAAAUUGAAAGGCGGCUUCGGCUGUCACUUAUGGAUGGACCCGCGUCGCAUUAGCUAGUUGGUGAGGUAACGGCUCACCAAGGCAACGAUGCGUCGCCGACCUGAGAGGGUGAUCGGCCACACUGAGACUGAGACACGGCCCAGACUCCUGCGGGAGGCAGCAGUAGGGAAUCUUCCGCAAUGGACGAAAGUCUGACGGAGCAACGCCGCGUGAGUGAUGAAGGCUUUCUGGUCGUAAAACUCUGUUGUUAGGGAAGAACAAGUGCUAGUUGAAUAAGCUGGCACCUUGACGGUACCUAACCAGAAAGCCACGGCUAACUACGUGCCAGCCGCCGCAGUAA